AGCGGGCUACUGGGCUGCGGAGACCAGAGCCCGGCUCCACUGAAGAAACCCGCCGGCUGCUGGGGCAGGGCGGCGAAAGGUCAGUCGGCCGAGAGGAGUCCGUGGAGCCACCGUUUCAUAGCCUCAGGGAAAGGAUCGGGCGUGCUCACGAGCCCUCUAACCCAUGGCUUAAACACCCGCUUCCUAAGCCUGGUUCCUGAAUAUAUCACAUGUGGUGAUAAACAUGAAGAUGUAUGAAAAAUUGUGUUCGUUGAGAGAAAAUGGAAGGCUUUUCAUUCUACUUCCACAUUUUCAUUCCAGCAGCUUUUCUGUUUUGGAAGAUGAGUACUGAAUCUUGCAAUGAAAUUUUUUUAACUUAAACAAGGUUCUUAUGCCUUUGUUUGAAAAACAUGGUUCCCUGUGAAAUUUUACAUGUAGAAGAAAGCUUCACACUACGAGAGCUCUCAGGAUAUAAUUAUUUCAGACAGAUACUGGGAACAUAAGAUGGCUUAUCAAUCUAAGAUGGCCUUCCUGUCCUUCGGAUUGAACUGAAACCAUCCCUGAUUCCAGGGAUAGGUAGAUGAUCCAGGUUUGGACAAUCAAAAUAUUGAACCACCCUGGACCUACAAGUGUUUCUGGGAUGGGAACAUGCAAACGUUGGUCCAAAUUGUUGUUCUAGGCAGCCCAGUACAUUUCUCCAAUGCCUGAUGGAAUGAUAGGGUAUGCAUAAAUGUUCAUGUGGGCUCUGGAGUAUACCAGGAACUGAAGUAAGGUACAUGGACGUCUUGAAUAUUGUAACUGAGAUGGGCAAGCCUACACCUUUGCAAAUAAAGGAGGAUUGGGAAAGAUUAAGAAUGAUUGAGUCUCAGAAUUGUUCUUUAAUCCUCAGUAUUUCCAUUAAGAAGAGCUUCUAUCAAGUGCUUCAAAAGUACCCAAUGUGAAGGAGUAAUAAUGACUCCCUGCUGCCUCUCAAGCACUGUGAAAAAUCACUUUCUCUUGUUGUAUUCUUGGAGCCCCUGCUAAUUCAUUAUUGAAAAAUACCUGCUGCCUGCAUUUGGCCUUAUGUUGUCAUUUACUUGGUACUUCCUAAGCGUGGCUACUCCAAUGAAGCUUUAGUAUAUGUACUGAAAGAAGAUCCUCUCAUACUGCCACAGCCAAGAGAUAAGGUUGUAAAUCUUUAUUGGGAGAAGCCGUCAAGGACAGUUCUGUGAAAUGAAAGGAUCUCUGGAUCACCACAAAGUCUGGCUCAGUGACUAUGGCUUUGCAAACACUAAACAUUCCUGUCUCAAGUCCUGUAGAUGGCUUGAAAUAGUAUACAUAAGCAUGCCUUAUAAACAUCUUCAGUCUUUAUCAACUCUUUGGAGAUUCAGCCAUUCUUUUUUGUACUUUAGGGAAUUAAAUCAUUUUAUAAUGUAUAAAUCUGAGCAUGGCCGAUGGCAGAAGAAAUUUUGUCAUACGUUUUUAAAGAAAUAAAAAUGUAUUAUGUUUUAAAA
rnacentral:lncRNA from 1 species